rnacentral:rRNA from 1 species
UCCAGACUCCUACGGGAGGCAGCAGUGAGGAAUAUUGGUCAAUGGCCGCAGGGCUGAACCAGCCAAGUCGCGUGAGGGAUGACGGUCCUAUGGAUUGUAAACCUCUUUUGUCAGGGAGCAAAGGGCGCCACGUGUGGCGUUUUGCGAGUACCUGAAGAAAAAGCAUCGGUUAACUCCGUGCCAGCAGCCGCGGUAAUACGGAGGAUGCGAGCGUUAUCCGGAUUUAUUGGGUUUAAAGGGUGCGCAGGCGGAAUGUCAAGUCAGCGGUAAAAUUUCGGGGCUCAACCCCGUCGUGCCGUUGAAACUGGCGUUCUUGAGUGAGCGGGAAGUAUGCGGAAUGCGUGGUGUAGCGGUGAAAUGCAUAGAUAUCACGCAGAACUCCGAUUGCGAAGGCAGCUUACUAAACUAUAACUGACACUGAAGCACGAAAGCGUGGGGAUCAAACAGGAUUAGAUACCCCCGUAC